rnacentral:misc_RNA from 1 species
UUUCCGUAGGUGAACCUGCGGAAGGAUCAUUAAAUAGUACCACAGAUUACAUAUGCAAAUAUGACAAUCUACUACUAUAUACCAUUCCGAGUACUCUUUUUCCAUGUUGCUUCCGCGAGGCAGUCACUUCAAGUGGCCGUUUGCUCCGGAUCUCCCUUCUCGGAGAGCCGGCUGUGGGCGAGAUUUCCUUGCGAAAGGUCAAUUACAAAUCCAAUUAUGUUUUUAUUUUGUGUCUGAAUAGAUUUUUUUUUUCUUUCUUUUUUUAAUUAAUAAAUACAAAAAAAAUAAAAUAAAAUACAAAACUUUCAACAACGGAUCUCUUGGUUCUC